AUGAGUAGCGACAAAGAGUGUGAGAGACACUCUCGCCGAAAGUCCAAGGGUUCCUGCUUAAAGCUAAUCUGAGCAGGGUAAGCCGACCCCUAAGGCGAGGCCGAAAGGCGUAGUCGAUGGGAAUCAGGUGAAUAUUCCUGAGCCAGGUGGAAGUGACGGAUACCGGCUGUUGUCAUCUCUUAUCGGAUUGAGAUGGCUUCGAAGGUGUCCCAGGAAAUAGCUCCACCAUUAGACCGUACCCUAAACCGACACAGGUGGACUGGUA
rnacentral:rRNA from 1 species